GAUGAACGCUAGCGGCAGGCCUAACACAUGCAGGUCGAGGGGUAGCAGGAUUAAGCUUGCUUAAUUGCUGACGACCGGCGCACGGGUGCGUAACGCGUAUGCAACCUACCUUAUACUGGGGUAUAGCCCGGAGAAAUUCGGAUUAAUCCCCCAUAGUACUAAUGAAUCGCAUGGUUUAUUAGUUAAAGCAUUGCGGUAUAAGAUGGGCACGCGUCCUAUUAGCUAGAUGGUGAGGUAACGGCUCACCAUGGCUACGAUAGGUAGGGGGCCUGAGAGGGUGGUCCCCCGGACUGGGACUGAGACACGGACCAGACUCCUACGGGAGGCAGCAGUGAGUAAGAUUGGUCAAUGGGCGCAAGCCUGAACCAGCCAUGCCGCGUGCAGGAAGAAUGCCCUAUGGGUUGUAAACUGCUUUUAUUUGGGAAUAAACCUCUUUACGUGUAGAGAGCUGAAGGUACCAAAUGAAUAAGCACCGGCUAACUCCGUGCCAGCCGCCGCCGUAA
rnacentral:rRNA from 1 species